CCGCGGGAUUAGAGUUUGAUCCUGGCUCGAAUCAACGCUGGCGGCGUGCCUAACACAUGCAAGUCGAACGAGAAAGUGGAGCAAUCCAUGAGUAAAGUGGCGACCGGGUGAGUAACACGUGACUAACCUACCUUCGAGUGGGGGAUAACCUCGGGAAACCGAGGCUAAUACCGCAUAACAUCGUGAGAUCAAAGCAGUAAUGCGCUGGAAGAGGGGGUCGCGGCUGAUUAGCUAGUUGGCGGGGUAAUGGCCCACCAAGGCGAAGAUCGGUAGCCGGCCUGAGAGGGCGCACGGCCACACUGGAACUGAAACACGGUCCAGACUCCUACGGGAGGCAGCAGUGGGGAAUUUUGCGCAAUGGGGGAAACCCUGACGCAGCAACGCCGCGUGGAGGAUGAAGUCCCUUGGGACGUAAACUCCUUUCGACCAAGACGAUAAUGACGGUACUGGUGGAAGAAGCACCGGCUAACUCUGUGCCAGCAGCCGCGGUAAUACAGAGGGUGCGAGCGUUGUUCGGAAUUAUUGGGCGUAAAGGGCGCGUAGGCGGCGCGGUAAGUCACCUGUGAAAUCUCCGGGCUUAACUCGGAGCCUGCAGGCGAAACUGCCGUGCUGGAGUAUGGGAGAGGUGCGUGGAAUUCCCGGUGUAGCGGUGAAAUGCGUAGAUAUCGGGAGGAACACCUGUGGCGAAAGCGGCGCACUGGACCAUAACUGACGCUGAGGCGCGAAAGCUAGGGGAGCAAACAGGAUUAGAUACCCUGGUAGUCCUAGCCCUAAACGAUGAUUGCUUGGUGUAGCCGGUACCCAAUCCGGCUGUGCCGCAGCU
rnacentral:rRNA from 1 species